GAAACGGGGUCUAAUACCGGAUAGGAGCAUUCACCGCAUGGUGGGUGUUGGAAAGAAUUUCGGUCUUGGAUGGACUCGCGGCCCAUCAGCUUGUUGGUGAGGUAAUGGCUCACCAAGGCGACGACGGGUAGCCGGCCUGAGAGGGUGACCGGCCACACUGGGACUGAGACACGGCCCAGACUCCUACGGGAGGCAGCAGUGGGGAAUAUUGCACAAUGGGCGCAAGCCUGAUGCAGCGACGCCGCGUGAGGGAUGACGGCCUUCGGGUUGUAAACCUCUUUCAGUAGGGAAGAAGCGAAAGUGACGGUACCUGCAGAAGAAGCACCGGCUAACUACGUGCCAGCAGCCGCGGUAAUACGUAGGGUGCGAGCGUUAUCCGGAAUUAUUGGGCGUAAAGAGCUCGUAGGCGGUUUGUCGCGUCUGCCGUGAAAGUCCGGGGCUUAACUCCGGAUCUGCGGUGGGUACGGGCAGACUAGAGUGCAGUAGGGGAGACUGGAAUUCCUGGUGUAGCGGUGGAAUGCGCAGAUAUCAGGAGGAACACCGAUGGCGAAGGCAGGUCUCUGGGCUGUAACUGACGCUGAGGAGCGAAAGCAUGGGGAGCGAACAGGAUUAGAUACCCUGGUAGUCCAUGCCGUAAACGUUGGGCACUAGGUGUGGGGGCCAUUCCACGGUUUCCGCGCCGCAGCUAACGCAUUAAGUGCCCCGCCUGGGGAGUACGGCCGCAAGGCUAAAACUCAAAGGAAUUGACGGGGGCCCGCACAAGCGGCGGAGCAUGCGGAUUAAUUCGAUGCAACGC
rnacentral:rRNA from 1 species